AGAGUUUGAUCAUGGCUCAGAUUGAACGCUGGCGGCAGGCCUAACACAUGCAAGUCGAGCGGCAGCACAAGGGGGUUUACUCCUGAGGUGGCGAGCGGCGGACGGGUGAGUAAUGCCUAGGGAUCUGCCCAGUCGAGGGGGAUAACAGUUGGAAACGACUGCUAAUACCGCAUACGCCCUACGGGGGAAAGAGGGGGACUUUCGGGCCUCUCGCGAUUGGAUGAACCUAGGUGGGAUUAGCUAGUUGGUGAGGUAAUGGCUCACCAAGGCGACGAUCCCUAGCUGUUCUGAGAGGAUGAUCAGCCACACUGGGACUGAGACACGGCCCAGACUCCUACGGGAGGCAGCAGUGGGGAAUAUUGCACAAUGGGGGAAACCCUGAUGCAGCCAUGCCGCGUGUGUGAAGAAGGCCUUCGGGUUGUAAAGCACUUUCAGUAGGGAGGAAAGGUUGUAAGUUAAUACCUUGCAGCUGUGACGUUACCUACAGAAGAAGGACCGGCUAACUCCGUGCCAGCAGCCGCGGUAAUACGGAGGGUCCAAGCGUUAAUCGGAAUUACUGGGCGUAAAGCGUGCGCAGGCGGUUGAUUAAGCG
rnacentral:rRNA from 1 species